rnacentral:rRNA from 1 species
AGCGGUUUCGAUGAAGUUUUCGGAUGGAUUUGAAAUCGACUUAGCGGCGGACGGGUGAGUAACGCGUGGGUAACCUGCCUUACACUGGGGGAUAACAGUUAGAAAUGACUGCUAAUACCGCAUAAGCGCACAGGGCCGCAUGGCCUGGUGUGAAAAACUCCGGUGGUGUAAGAUGGACCCGCGUCUGAUUAGGUAGUUGGUGGGGUAACGGCCCACCAAGCCGACGAUCAGUAGCCGACCUGAGAGGGUGACCGGCCACAUUGGGACUGAGACACGGCCCAAACUCCUACGGGAGGCAGCAGUGGGGAAUAUUGGACAAUGGGCGAAAGCCUGAUCCAGCGACGCCGCGUGAGUGAAGAAGUAUUUCGGUAUGUAAAGCUCUAUCAGCAGGGAAGAAAAUGACGGUACCUGACUAAGAAGCCCCGGCUAACUACGUGCCAGCAGCCGCGGUAAUACGUAGGGGGCAAGCGUUAUCCGGAUUUACUGGGUGUAAAGGGAGCGUAGACGGUUAAGCAAGUCUGAAGUGAAAGCCCGGGGCUCAACCCCGGUACUGCUUUGGAAACUGUUUGACUUGAGUGCAGGAGAGGUAAGUGGAAUUCCUAGUGUAGCGGUGAAAUGCGUAGAUAUUAGGAGGAACACCAGUGGCGAAGGCGGCUUACUGGACUGUAACUGACGUUGAGGCUCGAAAGCGUGGGGAGCAAACAGGAUUAGAU